rnacentral:rRNA from 1 species
GAUGAACGCUAGCUACAGGCUUAACACAUGCAAGUCGAGGGGAAACGAUAUUGGAAGCUUGCUUCCGAUAGGCGUCGACCGGCGCACGGGUGAGUAACGCGUUUCCAACCUGCCCACCACUUGGGGAUAACCUUGCGAAAGUAAGACUAAUACCCAAUGAUAUCCAUAGAAGACAUCUGAAAUGGAUUAAAGAUUUAUCGGUGAUGGAUGGGGAUGCGUCUGAUUAGCUUGGUGGCGGGGUAACGGCCCACCAAGGCGACGAUCAGUAGGGGUUCUGAGAGGAAGGUCCCACACAUUGGAACUGAGACACGGUCCAAACUCCUACGGGAGGCAGCAGUGAGGAAUAUUGGUCAAUGGGCGAGAGCCUGAACCAGCCAAGUAGCGUGCAGGAUGACGGCCCUAUGGGUUGUAAACUGCUUUUAUAAGGGAAUAAAGUGGGAGUCGUGACUCCUUUUGCAUGUACCUUAUGAAUAAGGACCGGCUAAUUCCGCGCUAGCCGCCGCAGUAA